CGCAGCCUUGUCAAAUUCAGCAGUUCCUGCUCAGUGGCGCCUGCUGGCCGUGAUGGCUGCAACAGGAACAGGUGUCCAUGGGCCCCGAUCCCUCUGUGUGGACAUUGGGGAUAAAUGGCGUAACCGACAUCU